rnacentral:rRNA from 1 species
UACGUAGGGUGCGAGCGUUGUCCGGAAUUACUGGGCGUAAAGAGCUCGUAGGUGGUUUGUCGCGUUGUCCGUGAAAACUCACAACUCAAUUGUGGGCGUGCGGGCGAUACGGGCAGGCUAGAGUUCGGUAGGGGAGACUGGAAUUCCCGGUGUAGCGGUGAAAUGCGCAGAUAUCGGGAGGAACACCGGUGGCGAAGGCGGCUACCUGGACAUCAACUGACGCUGAGACGCGAAAGCGUGGGGAGCAAACAGG